UAAAAAAAUUGAAACGAAAAU
rnacentral:piRNA from 1 species